AAAUACUAUCAGUGCACUCUUUGUCCCAUAGGCAUUACAACAUAAACAAGGGGUUGUUAGAAAAGUUCAGAGCCAGCUGUACUGCUCCUUUACAUCCCACUCAAGUGGUAUUGUUUCCCUGUGUCCAGCAGUGAGCACUCAGAGCUGAGCCUCUGGUGUCCCAGGCACUGAAUAAAGAUGGCAGAGACUUCCUUUGGAAGUGUAUUACAUCUGAGCAGCAGCACAUUAAGAUUCCUAAAUCCACAGGAUCUUGGUGCUGUGCCUGAAGUACCCAAGCUCUGCAUUAAGCAUUUGCAAGACAGAGAAUCAUAGAAUGGCCUGGGUUGAAAAGGACCACAAUGGUCAUCUCGUUCCAACCCCCUGCUAUGUGCAGGGUCGCCAACCACCAGACCAGGCUGCCCAGAGCCACAUCCAGCCUGGCCCUGAAUGCCUCCAGGGAUGGGGCAUCCACAGCCUCCUUGGGCAACCUGUUCCCUGCGUCACCACCUCUGUGUGAAAAACUUCUUCCUAAUAUCUAACCUAAACCUCCCCUGUCUCAGCUUAAAACCAUUCCCCCUUGUCCUAUCACUAUCCACCCUCAUAAACAGCCAUUCCCCCUCCUGUUUAUACACUCCCUUCAAGUACUGGAAGUCCACAAUGAGGUCUCCACAGAGCCUUCUCUUCUCCAAACUAAACAAUCCCAGUUCCCUCAACCUUUCCUCAUAGGAGAGGUGCUCCAGCCCCCUGAUCACCUUAGAGGCCCUCCUCUGGAC
ensembl:lncRNA